UACGUAGGCAGCAAGCGUUGUUCGGAGUUACUGGGCGUAAAGGGUGUGUAGGCGGUUCUUUUAAGUUUGCUGUGAAAUCUCCCGGCUUAACCGGGAGGGUGCGGUGAAUACUGAGGGACUAGAGUACGGGAGAGGAAAGUGGAAUUCCUGGUGUAGCGGUGAAAUGCGUAGAUAUCAGGAGGAACACCGGUGGUGUAGACGGCUUCUGGACCGUAACUGACGCUGAGACACGAAAGCGUGGGUAGCAAACAGG
rnacentral:rRNA from 1 species